rnacentral:rRNA from 1 species
UUUAAAUUUAGAGUUUGAUCCUGGCUCAGGACGAACGCUGGCGGCGUGCUUAACACAUGCAAGUCGAGCGAUGAAACUUCCUUCGGGAAGUGGAUUAGCGGCGGACGGGUGAGUAACACGUGGGUAACCUGCCUCAAAGUGGGGGAUAGCCUUCCGAAAGGAAGAUUAAUACCGCAUAA